AAGUAUAUUCUAGUAACUUGUCAGAAUUAAAAUAAAAUUGCAAAAAACAAAUUAAGCCAUAUAGUCUUUAGAAAUAAAAAUAGAAAUAAACUCGUACGAUGAUGUCUUAUAAUUGAUUAUUCAACUCAUGCAAUAACAUAUGAAAAAAACAUUUAGGAUUUAAGAUAUGGUAGAUGUGGAUGAGAGAAUGGUUAUUUAUAAUAUGAGAAAUCAUGGAAGCUAAUUGUUUUUAAAACAAUAAUGGGAGUUACAAUUUUAAUUUAUUGUGUGGUCGAAUGACAUUGAGUAGAAAAUAUUACCGUGGGAAAUCCAUGUCAAAUAUUUAAGAUGGUGUUUGAUCUUGGAAGCAGCAUCUUCUAGGUUCCUUCAAUAUGGUGGUCUCACUCUGGGCACCCCAAAUUUGAUGUCUCACCAUCGAACACAUACAUUUCUAGGGGUAUUUUUUUUUUCCUCCUUUGUCUUUUUCUAGAAAUCACUUUCUAAUAAUUUCAACAAGACGAAACCUGCUAGUAAGAUUUUACUCAACACAAACCAAAAUAAUAAACCAAAUACAUGAUAUGUACAAUAAUUACAUAGAAUUUCAUAUUAAUAUAAGAAAUACAAACUAAAUAUACAACUUUUUCAUUGAAGAUAACUAAAUAUGAUUAUAUCACAAUAACCAACAUAAAAUACAUCACACAUUCUUAGGAUCUUAACUUUGAUUAUCCAUUGUUUUUUAUAUGGCUUGAGAGAGUUGAUAUCAUUGAAAUAUAUGGUAUUAGAGUUUAUGUGAAUCAUUAAUGAGUUUCGAGAUAUAUAUGAUGUUUCGAAGACCAUGUUUAUAUAAAAAGAAUUAACUAUUAGCUUGGAGAAGAAUAAAAAAUCCCUAAUGAUGUAAUAUGAAUUUAUUUAAAGAAACGAUUAUGUAU
rnacentral:sRNA from 1 species